AGAUUGAACGCUGGCGGCAGGCCUAACACAUGCAAGUCGGGCGGUAGAGAGGUGCUUGCACCUCUUGAGAGCGGCGGACGGGUGAGUAAUGCCUAGGAAUCUGCCUAGUGGUGGGGGAUAACGUUCGGAAACGGACGCUAAUACCGCAUACGUCCUACGGGAGAAAGCGGGGGACCUUCGGGCCUCGCGCCAUUAGAUGAGCCUAGGUCGGAUUAGCUAGUUGGUGAGGUAAUGGCUCACCAAAGGCGACGAUCCGUAACUGGUCUGAGAGGAUGAUCAGUCACACUGGAACUGAGACACGGUACCAGACUCCUACGGGAGGCAGUCAGUGGGGAAUACUUGGACAAUGGGACGAAAAGCCGUGAAUCCGAGACC
rnacentral:rRNA from 1 species